GUGCCAGCAGCCGCGGUAAUACAGAGGGUGCGAGCGUUGUUCGGAAUUAUUGGGCGUAAAGCGCAUGUAGGCGGCUUGUUAAGUCACGUGUGAAAGCCCCAGGCUCAACCUGGGAAGUGCGCGUGAAACUGGCGAGCUUGAAUCCUGGAGAGGGUGGCGGAAUUCCCGGUGUAGAGGUGAAAUUCGUAGAUAUCGGGAGGAACACCAGAGGCGAAGGCGGCCACCUGGACAGAGAUUGACGCUGAGACGCGAAAGCGUGGGGAGCAAACAGGAUUAGAUACCCUAGUAGUCC
rnacentral:rRNA from 1 species